rnacentral:rRNA from 1 species
CGGGAAUUCGAUUGCAUGGAUUAGGCAUGCAUUUCGAGCGAGAACGGGGAGCAAUCCCUUAGUAAAGCGGCACACGGGUCAGUAAUGCGUGGAUAACUUGCCCUUGAGACUGGGAUAACGGCGGGAAACUGCCGCUAAUACCGGAUGGCCUCGCGAGCCGGCAUCGGUUUGCGAGUAAAGGUGGGGACCGAAAGGCCUGCUGCUCAAGGAGAGGUUCACGACCUAUCAGCUAGUUGGUGAGGUAAUGGCUCACCAAGGCGACGACGGGUAGGCGGGCUGAGAGGCUGACCGCCGACACUGGGACUGAGAACUGCCCAGACUCCUACGGGAGGCUGCAGUCGAGAAUCUUCCGCAAUGGACGCAAGUCUGACGGAGCGACGCCGCGUGCGGGAUGAAGGUCUUUGGAUUGUAAACCGCUGUCACGCGUUAUGAAUGCGCAGCAGCGAAUACCUGCUGCGUUGACAAAGGCGCGAGAGGAAGUCACGGCUAAUUCUGUGCCAGCAGCCGCGGUAAUACAGAGGUGGCAAGCGUUGCUCGGUAUCACUGGGCUUAAAGGGCGCGUAGGCGGUGUGGUACGGUCUCGGUGAAAUCCCUCGGCCCAACCGAGGAACAGCCGGGGCUACGGCCACACUAGACGGCAUCAGGGGACAGUGGAACUUCCGGUGGAGCGGUGAAAUGCGUAGAUAUCGGAAGGCACGCCGGUGGCGAAAGCGACUGUACUGGGGUGCCUGUGACGCUGAGGCGCGAAAGCCAGGGGAUCAAACGGGAUUAGAUACCCCGGUAGUCCUGGCCCUAAACGAUGCGCACUAGGUAGCGGGAGGUUCCGACUUCCCGCUGCCGGAGUAAAAAUCUUAAGUGCGCCGCCUGGGGAGUACGGCCGCAAGGUUAAAACUCAAAGGAAUUGACGGGGGCUCACACAAGCGGUG